AUGCUCAUUUUGGCAGCACAUAAGCUAAGAUUGGAACAACACAGCAGAGAAGAUUAGCAAGGAGGCUAUACAAAUUUGUGCAGCAUCCACAUUUUUA
rnacentral:snRNA from 1 species